ACCUUGCAGAUACAUGAUCCAUAUGUGUAACUCACUUGAAUUAUAUUCCAAUCACAGCAGGGUAUAUACGAGAAGCAUAAUGUUUUCAAUAUUUGCUUAAAUCAUCAAAGAUGCUCCAGAAAAUAGAGAUACCUCUGAGAUGAACUAUACAUCUAGACCUUCUAAUCUUUUUUUAAAAAAAGAUUUUAUUUAUUUAUUUGAGAGAUAGAGUUAAAGACAGUGAGAGGGAGAAGAGACAGAAAGAAAGGUCUUCCUUGAGCUGGUUCACUCCCCAAAUGGCCGCAAUGGCCGGAGCUGCACUGAUCUGAAGCCAGGAGUCAGGAGCGUCUUCCAGGCCUCCCAUCCAGGUGCAGAGGCCCAAGCACUUGGGCCAUCUUCCACUACAUAUAGCAGAGGAGCAGCCGGGACUCGAACCGGUGGCCGUAUGGGAUGCUAGUGCCGCAGACAGAGGAUUAACCUACUGCGCCACAGCGCUGGCCCCAGACCUUCUAAUCUUUUAGCCAACAUAAUGGCCCUUAAGGAUAUCAGUAUACUGCUUAUUCUGUUAACAUGGGCUUUGUGCUGUUAUUGGAAAGAUAAGUGCUGAUACUGAUAUGUCUCCAACUGGUUGUCAUAAUCCAAUGAUUUUCUGCCAAAUAACUAUUCCAGCUGGUUCUCCAGACACAGUGAGAAACACCAGGGAAUGGGGAGUUUUCAGUGUCAGGAUAACUUUUCCAAAGAAGCACAAGGGUCCAGGCCCUCAGGCACUGGAGUCCUUGUCCGGUCUGGGCAGGCACAGAGCAUCACAUUCCCUUUCUCAUGCACUUUGGUUUCCUUUGUCGUCAAGACGCAGACCCAUCAUGCUGACGGCUCAUGGUUGUUCCAAGGCUGAAAUGUCAGAGUUUGGGGCUCAAGUGGAUUAACUACUCCUGAGCAUUAGAGACCGAGAUGAAUUCUCCAGAAGCAGUCCCAUCACAGAUGGCUGGGAGCCACGCUGAUUAGAAUGCUCACUGUUCCAGCGCGAGGACGUGUUGGGGUGAGAGAGAGAAAAAUAUUUCCUUCUUAAGCUGAGGAUUUCCCAGAAGGUAAUAGGAAAAGAGUCUAAAUCAAGGUUAAAAAAUGAAUACAUUAUCUGUUUCAUGUUUACCCAUUGGCAGGUCUUAUAAGUUAAGAAGAAAGUAAUAUCUUUGAGGAAGUUCCCAUUUAAAAUCAGUUAUGAACAAAAUCCAAUGGCAUUGAAUGUUUGCAUUAGAUAAGCUCCCCAAAGCCUCAUUCUCAAAGUCAAAGAUUUUAUAUUUCCAUUAGUUUUCCUUCCAACCAUUCUAGCAAAGUAAUAAAAAAAGUGUGCUGGAUGAAGAGAGAGGAUCU
rnacentral:lncRNA from 1 species